GGUUGGUUUCAGACAUCUCUCUUGACCUCAGUAGCAGUGAGAGGUGAGGCUCCCUACAGGCAAAUCAUAACUCAUGGUUUUACCACUGAUGAGGAAGGUAAAAAAAUGUCAAAAUCUGUUGGGAAUGUUGUUGAUCCUGAGGAGGUUAUCUUUGGAGGCAAAGAUAAGAAAAAGAAUCCAUCCUAUGGAGUAGAUGUGU
rnacentral:sRNA from 1 species